UCAAAUUUCUAAGAGCAAACGGUGGAUGCCUUGGCAUCUGGAGCCGAAGAAGGACGUAGCAAUCUGCGAUAAGCCUCGGGGAGCUGAUAAGCGAGCUUUGAUCCGAGGAUGUCCGAAUGGGGAAACCCCGCUGGGAGCUUCGUGCUACCCAGUGACUCCCGCCUGAAUAUAUAGGGCGGGUAGAGGGAACGUGGGGAAGUGAAACAUCUCAGUACCCACAGGAAGAGAAAACAACAGUGAUUCCGGUAGUAGUGGCGAGCGAAACCGGAACAGGCCAAACCGAUCAUGUGUGAUAGCCGGCAGGCGUUGCAUGGUCGGGGUUGUGGGACUCUUACGGUUUUCUGCCGAAAACCACGUAGAUAGUUGUUGUAUAGACAAAUGGUCUUGAAAGGCCAGCCGCAGAGGGUGCCAGCCCCGUAGUUGAAAUGCAGCACUAAUGCGAAGAGGAUCCCAAGUAUCACGGGGCCCGAGAAAUCCCGUGUGAAUCUGCCAGGACCACCUGGUAAGCCUAAAUACUCCCAGAUGACCGAUAGCGGACAAGUACCGUGAGGGAAAGGUGAAAAGUACCCCGGGAGGGGAGUGAAAUAGAACCUGAAACCGUUUGCUUACAAUCCGUUGGAGCCUCCUUGUAGGGGUGACAGCGUGCCUUUUGAAGAAUGAGCCUGCGAGUUAGCGAUAUGUGGCGAGGUUAACCCGUGAGGGGUAGCCGUAGCGAAAGCGAGUCUGAAUAGGGCGAUUCAGUCGCAUGUCCUAGACCCGAAGCGAAGUGAUCUAUCCAUGGCCAGGUUGAAGCGACGGUAAGACGUCGUGGAGGACCGAACCCACUUGGGUUGAAAACCGAGGGGAUGAGCUGUGGAUAGGGGUGAAAGGCCAAUCAAACUUCGUGAUAGCUGGUUCUCUCCGAAAUGCAUUUAGGUGCAGCGUUGCGUGUUUCUUGCCGGAGGUAGAGCUACUGGAUGGCCGAUGGGCCCUAAAAGGUUACUGACGUCAGCCAAACUCCGAAUGCCGGUAAGUAAGAGCGCAGCAGUGAGACGGUGGGGGAUAAGCUUCAUCGUCGAGAGGGAAACAACCCAGACUACCGACUAAGGUCCCAAAGCGUGUGCUAAGUGGAAAAGGAUGUGGAGUUGCAUAGACAACCAGGAGGUUGGCUUAGAAGCAGCCACCCUUGAAAGAGUGCGUAAUAGCUCACUGGUCAAGUGAUUCCGCGCCGACAAUGUAACGGGGCUCAAGCACACCACCGAAGUCGUAGCAUUCAAACUAUAGGUAGGCCUUCGUGGUCCAGCCGUGUGAAUGGGUAGGAGAGCGUCGUGUGGCGAGCGAAGCGGCGGAGUGAUCCAGCCGUGGACGCCACACGAGUGAGAAUGCAGGCAUGAGUAGCGAAAGACGGGUGAGAAACCCGUCCUCCGGAAGACCAAGGGUUCCAGGGCCAGGCUAAUCCGCCCUGGGUAAGUCGGGACCUAAGACGAGGCCGACAGGCGUAGUCGAUGGACAACGGGUUGAUAUUCCCGUACCCGCGAAGAACCGCAAGAGCUAAACCAGUAAUGCUAAGAGUCCGAAUUCUCUUUCUGAUCCCUUCGGGGUGAGGAUUGAGAGCUAGCACUCGACCCUAUGCUGGCGCGGCUAGCGUAUUAACAGGUGUGACGCAGGAAGGUAGCUGAGCCGGGCGAUGGUUGUCCCGGUGUAAGGAUGUAGGGCGAGGAAUAGGCAAAUCCGUUCCUCACGAAGCCUGAGAUCCGACGCGUACCCCUCACGGGGGAAAUCAGUGAUCCUAUGCUGCCAAGAAAAGCAUCGACGCGAGGUUCUAGUGGCCCGUACCCCAAACCGACUCAGGUGGUCAGGUAGAGAAUACUAAGGAGAUCGAGAGAAUCGUGGUUAAGGAACUCGGCAAAAUGCCCCCGUAACUUCGGGAGAAGGGGGGCCGGAUUGGUGAAGGGAUUUACUCCUGGAGCUAUGAAGGCCGCAGAGACCAGUGGGAAGCGACUGUUUACUAAAAACACAGGUCCGUGCUAAGUCGCAAGACGAUGUAUACGGACUGACGCCUGCCCGGUGCUGGAAGGUUAAGAGGAGCGGUUAGCACUUGUGCAAAGCUGCGAAUUUAAGCCCCAGUAAACGGCGGUGGUAACUAUAACCAUCCUAAGGUAGCGAAAUUCCUUGUCGGGUAAGUUCCGACCUGCACGAAUGGCGUA
rnacentral:rRNA from 1 species